GCGCCUGUAGCUCAGCUGGAUAGAGCAACGGACUUCUAAUCCGUUGGCCGAGAGUUCGAAUCCCUCCAGGCGCACCA
rnacentral:tRNA from 2 species